rnacentral:rRNA from 1 species
UGGGGAAUAUUGGACAAUGGGCGAAAGCCUGAUCCAGCCAUGCCGCGUGUGUGAAGAAGGUCUUCGGAUUGUAAAGCACUUUAAGUUGGGAGGAAGGGCAGUAACCUAAUACGUUGCUGUCUUGACGUUACCGACAGAAUAAGCACCGGCUAACUCUGUGCCAGCAGCCGUGGUAAUACAGAGGGUGCAAGCGUUAAUCGGAAUUACUGGGCGUAAAGCGCGCGUAGGUGGUUUGUUAAGUUGGAUGUGAAAUCCCCGGGCUCAACCUGGGAACUGCAUUCAAAACUGACAAGCUAGAGUAUGGUAGAGGGUGGUGGAAUUUCCUGUGUAGCGGUGAAAUGCGUAGAUAUAGGAAGGAACACCAGUGGCGAAGGCGACCACCUGGACUGAUACUGACACUGAGGUGCGAAAGCGUGGGGAGCAAACAGGAUUAGAUACCCCAGUAGUCCCUGAGCGGGCUGGCAAGGCGCAU